rnacentral:lncRNA from 1 species
CAAAAAAUUUCAGUUUACAAAUUAAACCAGUUUACAUACAAACCGGGUUUAAAAUCAAAAUCUAAAAAAACCCUAACUCCUUCCCACCGCCUCCUCCGCACUUCCUCCCCCGCUCUACCUCCUCCGCCGCACAACCUCCAUCUAUGAAACCUAGUUUCCAAAAACCUAACUUUAAGCCGCUACUCUCUCCGCCUUUCAUGGUCGUCAUAGCCGCCAUCUCCAUCACUACAGAGCUCCGACUUCGCCUCUUCUGUCUUCUCUCCGUCUCCUGAUGUUCUUCAUCUUCUGUUUAUCCCUGAAACCCAGAUUUCAAAACACAAACAUAAAAAGAUUCAAACUUUCAUGGCAAAUCCUUUCCAUCAGCUUUCUAUACCAACAACGGUGACAAAACCAGAAUCAAAAAAGAGAGAGAGAGAGAGAGCCUAGACGAUAUUCCAACUGAAACAAGGUGGAGAUGGAGACAGGUGACGACGUUUUGUUUCUUGUUUCUGUGUCUCCGGAGAGGAGAGAGGGUGAUGAUGGAUAUGUGAGCAGAGGCGUUGAUGUGUUUUUGUGACGACGUAAUGGUUCCAAAAGGAGCGUGGUGGUGAAGCUUAUCAACGGUGGUUGGAGACACAGAGGGGUUUCUUAGAAGAAGAUGUGAGGAGCUCACCAGAGAAAAGAAGAUUGCAGAUGACCAGAUAUGAGAGAUGAAGAGACGAGACAUGAGAGGAUUCUGAGAAAAUUGAUCAUUUAGUAUGAGAUCUGUGAAAAAGAAUUGCAGAGGUCGUGAGAGAAAGAGAAAAUAAAAAAAAAUUAAUAAUUAUAUGCCGUUGGAUUGAAACCUAUCAACGGUAGAGAUUCAUAUCUUAGCUAUCCUCGCCAUUCUUUUCUAUUGGUCAGAUCUGUUUCCUCUUAUUAUUUUUUAAACACACUCUCUUUCCUCUUUAUUUUUUUCUUAAUUAUACUCUGUUUUAAAAAAAAUUAUAUAAAUCUAGUUUAUAAAUUCGUUUUAGUUUGUAAAUUUAG